rnacentral:lncRNA from 1 species
AAGUGGCUGACUGGUGUGUUGAAAUUAGGCUCAAGCCAUUGUCAGGUCUUGGGCCGCUCUCUCCUCACUUCCAAAUCUCUAGUCCAGCACGGACUAGUUAAGCACCUGAAAAUACCAAAGGUUGAGUUUGCAUUGGAGUCAUAUGGGAGGGCUCCGGAUCUCUGAUCUUAUAGGGAGACUUCCACCAAACAGCCACUUUUUGUUU